rnacentral:rRNA from 1 species
UACGUAGGGGGCAAGCGUUGUCCGGAAUCAUUGGGCGUAAAGAGCGUGUAGGCGGCUUGGCAAGUCUGGUGUGAAAUCUUGCGGCUCAACCGCAAGCGGUCACUGGAAACUGCCUCGGCUAGAGUCCGGAAGAGGAGAGCGGAAUUCCGUGGAUGUAGCGGUGGAAUGCGCAGAUAGUCAGGAAGAACACCCGUGGCGAAGGCGGCUCUCGUGGGACGGUACUGGACGCUGAAGACGCGAAAGCGUGGGGAGCGAACGG